UAGCACCACAAUCUGAGAUUUUCCUGCAGUGAAGUUGUAAGCUCUAGCUUAGAUCAAACCUUAGAACACAAUGAAAACAGCAGUGGCUCUUCUUACACUUUUUGCCAUGAUUGCUGCGCAAUUUGUGGAUACGUUGGUUACGGUUACCCUUCUGUAGGAUAUAGGGGUGGAUACGGUUACCCCUAUAGAGGCUAUGGCCAUGGUGGCGGAUACGGACGCCAGAGAUUCCAAACCCCAUAUUUUGGUUAUGAUAUAAGUUAUCCUACAUAUGGGUAUGCUGCCCCAUAUCAUGGGUAUGGUUACGGACAUGGAUAUGGUUACCACUAAAAUCUACAUACAACCAGGGUAGAAAUAUUGAGAUGGCGGUUUCUUCAAUGUCACGAGCUAGGAGAGACGACCAAUGCCCUGCGUAGUGCAGCCUCGUUUCUCCCGGUGUUCUCAUUCUUCAUGCUUUGUUCUAUA